CUACGGGGUGCUCCAGUGAGGAAUAUUGCACAAUGGGGGGAACCCUGAUGCAGCAACGCCGCGUGGAGGAUGACGCAUUUCGGUGUGUAAACUCCUUUUAUAUGUCAAGAGAAUGACGGUAGCAUAUGAAUAAGCACCGGCUAACUCCGUGCCAGCAGCCGCGGUAAUACGGAGGGUGCAAGCGUUACUCGGAAUCACUGGGCGUAAAGGACGCGUAGGCGGGUUGGAAAGUCAGGUGUGAAAUCCUACAGCUUAACUGUAGAACUGCACUUGAAACUUCUAAUCUAGAGUAUGGGAGGGGGAGAUGGAAUUAGUGGUGUAGGGGUAAAAUCCGUAGAUAUCACGAGGAAUACCUAAAGCGAAGGCGAUCUCCUGGAACAUUACUGACGCUAAGGCGUGAAAGCGUGGGGAGCAAACAGGAUUAGAUACCCCUGUAGUC
rnacentral:rRNA from 1 species